ensembl:lncRNA
AGCCUCACGUUGGCGCCAAAAUCUGUUAGCGAAAGUGAGCCCAGCUGCUUCCCGCUGGAAAGCCAAUAAAGAGGAAGGGGGACCCCUUCCAGGGCCCGAAAGUGGGCUCUUGUCUAACACUCAGAAAUGAAUUGUCCAAGGAGACACACGUGCUGACAAAGCAAGAGAUUUUAUUAGGAAGAGGCGCCCCGGUGGAGAGCAGCAGGGCAAAGUGGAUAAUGAGAUAUACUACUUCAAGUUUUGCCCAGACCAUCUGUAAACCAGACUCGAGUAUUGUCUUCCUCAAAUGAUCACAGGAAAGUUCCACGAGGCUGUAGGAAUAGAUGAAGAGAGAGAGGGCAAUGCAACAAGAGGGAUCGCUAAGGGAGUCUCAGCCAGUGCCAUGCACGAGUGCUUUCAGGGCCUGGUCAAGCUCAGUUUUGGGAGGUUGUGUAGAGGAUGGGGCGGCCGCCGCCUUUAGAAUCUGCAGCUCACCCUGCGCUCAGCCUGCAGUCACAGAGACUGAAGGGAGACGCACAGAUACAGUCCUGUGUGAAGGAAAGCUGCACGGCGCAAAACAGCCUGGAGCUAAAACUCCCCUCCAGGUCCUUCCCACCAUUCUAUACAGAAUAAAGAGCUUUCUCCCCUGAAGAAAGGAAGGGACAUGAAGACUGAUUACGUUCAGCUCCCAGCCGAUCCCAGUCUCCGGCUGGUAUCAGGAAUUCCUUACCCCAGUUGUUGAAAGCUAACUAAUCAAAAAUAAUCAUGAGGAAAAGAGACCCCCUCAAAAUGAUGCACCUCCGCAUAUAUAUGUUUUCUAUAUAUACCUACUCUCUUCUCAGUCCAUUAAUCGGACUGCUGCCCCUUCUCGUCCCAUUAAA